rnacentral:rRNA from 1 species
UACGAAGGGGGCGAGCGUUGUUCGGAAUUACUGGGCGUAAAGGGCGCGCAGGCGGUCCUUCAAGUCAGAUGUGAAAUCCCCGGGCUUAACCUGGGAAUGGCAUUUGGGACUGCAAGGCUGGAGUGCGGCAGAGGAGACUGGAAUUCCUGGUGUAGCAGUGAAAUGCGUAGAUAUCAGGAGGAAUACCGAUGGCGAAGGCAGGUCUCUGGGCUGACACUGACGCUCAUGCACGAAAGCGUGGGGAGCAAACAGG